rnacentral:lncRNA from 1 species
ACAUGUGAAGACAUAAUAUUCUUUUGAUACUUUUCAACCACUUAAAAAGUAUUCGCUCACCACUUGUACAAAAACAAGCAAGUCAAAGUUUGCUAACCUCUAUUUUAGAGGUUCAGCAAGCACCCCGUUUCUACUUUCUCAAAAAAGUCUACUUCCUCCCUGCCCGAGAAACCACCUUUGUGCUUCUGAUUAGCUUUUUUAAUCUCCUGAUCCCUUUCUGAUCCACAAGUCAGACGUUCAUAAUCAACGUAUGGUUCUUCUUGGUCCUCAGAUCCUGCUCCUUGCCUACCCCUGCCAUGUUUUCUUAGAACACGUGCAAAUUUAUUCUCAUUCUUUAGCUGCAAUUUAUUCCUGCCUCCAGCCUUCUGAUGCCUUUUCCAUAACAAUCUUUUCCAAGCUGAAUUCUCCUCUUUGAAGACACUCUUGACCCACUGCUAAAUCUUUCUUUUCCAGCAUGUCACAUGUUCAAAUCUUUUCCAAUCCCUCUCUCACUGUGCCUUUGGUCUCUAUAUUUCAAUUCAGUUUUAUAAGCAAACUACAUAAAAAAAAAACAAAACAGCAUAGGCAAUGUCAAUGAUAGUAAACUUAGAGUAGGAAAUAAUUUAGGAAAUUCAAAUUAACUGAAAUCUCAUUAUCUAAUCAUGCAGCUGCUUUGAUUUUUUUUUUCUUUACACACUCUCACAGGUUUGUAAGUUCAUAACAUAUAUCAUUUGCUGUUCUUGUUAAAUAUUAGCUCGGUUUUCUAUAUAAGCAUUAAUUUGGGGUAAAAAUAUCCUAUAGGAAAGGCUGAUUCUUUAAGAUUUAAUUCAGGCAUUGCCUCUCUCUCCUACUCCCCCACCUCCACCCUGGCCCCCAAAUAUUGCUUGAUGCCUUCAGUCUAAUUGAUCCUUCUCUGUUCCAAUGAUACUUUGUUUAUAUUUGCCUGCCAGCAGGUAUCAUUUCACAUAUUUCAUAUAAUUAUCUGUUAGGUGACUGUUACCAGAUUGUUAAUCUAGCAUAGAUUCUAAAUUUAGAAAGUUGUCAUAAAUAUUUGUUAAUAAGUGUAUGUACAUCACACUCAAUUUAGAGACAAGCUAGGACUCAGGCAGAGAGGUGGUUUACCAGUAAGUUUCAGAGUUGAAGUCUAUUUUUAAAAAACUAAGAUAUUUAUAGAAUGUAAUAAACAGCCGUAUCAUAAAUAUCCUAUUAGGAAUGUUUUCCCACCUUCUUUUAAGAUAGCAGUGAUCAGUGUACUUCCUGCACAAUGUGUACAGUUCAUGUCCAGCAAACUGAACACCAAGACUCAGUUCUGAUGGCAUCUUUCUACGUGGGGAUAACGGUGUGAAACAGCUACAAGAGGGCAUGUCCUAGAAUCUCCUGGACUUGAAGUCACCACAAGUGUAUGAUCUUCUAUAUACAGAGACAUAUAUCAGAAGGAUGAAAAUGCAUUUAGAAAUGUUCAUGUUCUUUCUCAAUAUAUAAAAAUAUGUUAGUUACCAUAGCAACUAUGGCCAUAGAUUCACUUAUUCUCUUUUUAUUGUAAGAAAAAUAAGCAGAAGCUGAAAUAUUUUACAAUAAACUUUUCCAUAGAUGUCUAGGAGAAUAUUUUUGCAAUCAUCUAAGAUAUUUGAAAGAAUAUGUUAAGAUGGGAAUGGAAGAUUCUUUCUUAAUAAAAACUCAUUGAACUAUUCACAAAACCAUCAAGUGACAAAGACUUCUAAAUAAUAUGAAACCUUCCAGCAUAGGAGGAAUAAUAUUUUGUUGCUGCUCUUUGGAUCUGAAAGGGAGUCAGUUUUAUUUUAAGGGAACACUAUCUGAAACUUAGGAAUAUGAAUAUUACCUUUUGAUGCUGAAUGCUUUCCUUUUUUAUACAUAAUGUUUAGUCACAAAUAAGCAUGUUUUACAUUUUGAAAUAAUAUAGCUAUGAUAUGUAAUAAUAAUAAAAAUAAUAAAUAGUCAGUGGCCAAAAAUUAUAUCAUUGUAACAAAUACAAGCCAUUCAAGGAAACAAGAAAGAAACUCUCAAAAAACACAAGAAUUACAGCUCCUAAAAUGAUAACCAUACCAUUAUUACAUUGUUUAGAGGGAAGUGUUUAGGUUGGUUCUUAGAAUAUUGAAUUGAAACAUGCCCAUAAUAAAUCAGGAGAGUCACCAAGCAAUAUGGUGUUAAAACAUGUUCUAAAAUUAUAACCUAUGCUUUUCUCUUGAGCUUUAGACAUAGACCUCCACCUGGAUGUUUCAUAGGCUCCGCAGGUGAAGUCAGAAUCUCAAACUACCCAUAUUUUCUUCCUGCCCUCCCUGUUCCCAUAAACGGCAAAGCCACCCACCCAGGGACUUGAACCUUAAACAUCGUAGCCAUGAUACCCUCUCCUUCAGGACUCCAUUCUCACUCCUUUAAAAACAUCCAGCACCCUUCCAAUUCAUGAGGAUUUUGCUUCCUUCCUGAAUCUGCUCCCCAUCUUCUUGCUUUCCUAGAUAAAUCCCACAUUCCCUCUUAUCUGGACCACUGGGUAGUUUCCUGGUUGCCCAGUUCCCCCCACCUCUCUUUGCUCUGCUUCUGGUCCUGGCGCCUCACCCUCAUCCUCCUCAGAGUGAUGGCAGGGCAGGGCUGAUUUCAACACCCAACUCCCAUUCUCUCCUUUCUCAUCCCCCACCCCGUCACCAGUCCCCACUGAAUAAAGAUAAAGCCAGAACUCCAGCCCAUGGCAUCAAUCUGCUCUCCACUCCCCUCACUCUCCUCCAUUCUCCAAAAGGCUGUUUCCUCUAGGAAUUCUCAGCUGCUUGGCAUUCACUCUGUAGGAAAGUUCUUCACACCUCUGGACCUCUUCGCACCUUUUCCCUGUAAUCUCCCCUCCCACCUGCUUCAUCGGAUGUAUUCCUACUCAUCCUAUUCAUACAUAGACAACACUGCAUCUAGGAAGCUGGAGGACUGGCAGGUUCCCUUUCUCUCUGCUUCUGCAGUGAUCGAUACCAACCUUUACAAAUGUCCUUAUCAUCCUAGUGACUCUACUCUUUGUCUUCACCCUAUUAUGAUCAUCCUAGGUCAGAAACAGAUCUUUCUCACCUUUGACUGGUGCCUAGCAUCAAACUACUCUGAUGGAAGAAGACCAAGACCUUAACAGGCUUAAAUAUGAAGCAGUGAAAUUUAAGGUUAUUACAAUGAUAUUGCUACUUCUGGGGUAACUGUCUGCCAACUCUUGUUAUUUUAUUGUAUUAGCUAUUUAUUUUGCUUUUUAGGGCCACACCAAUGGCACACAGAAGUUCCCAGGCUAGGAGUUGAUUUGGAGCUACAGCCGCUGGCCUACACCACAGCCACAGCAACUCAGGAUCUAAGCCACAUGUGCAAUCUACACCCCAGCUCAUGCCAAUGGUGGAUCCCCAUCCCACUGAGUGAGGCCAGGGAUCGAACCUGCGUCCUCAUGGAUACGAAUCAGAUUCAUUUCUGCUGCGCCAAUAUGGGAACUCCCCAACUCUUUUUAAAUGAAGGGGAUAUGUUUUCCCAAAGUUCUCACUAGAUAUCUCAUUUUGAAACAAACCAAAACCACAAAUAAAACAAACAGAAUCUUGGAAUGAAAAGCAAUAGAAGAUUUGAAAAAAAAGGAAGGACAAAUGCCAUAAGUUACCUGCAUGCUUCUGACAGUUUCAGGAUGUAAUUGCUGUAUACACAUACAUUCCUGCGUGGAAGAACCACAUGCCAGGUGGGCACACAGCCCCAGAAACACAUGACAUGAGCUCGAAAACAGUAUCUUCAGUUUUAAAGAAAGAAGCAAAAAACCACCUCUGGGUUCCAUUACCUCCAGUAAUGAACUCACUGUUGGCCAGUCUGUUCUCAGUAUGAUUCCAUCACCCCUUCAUUUCAUUAGGUACCAUUCGGUGUUUGGGUACAUGGCCCGACAAGCUGGUUCCAUCCUAAUCAUUGAAUUCUAAUGGCUCAGAUCAGUAAGUACGUCCCACUCAACACCACGCUUACCACUAGGAAGUCACUUGGGCACUGGUUAUCCCUCUGUUCAUUAAUCGACAUGGGUUAAAUGACUGCAUGGGUACUUGUGGGUUGAAAUGUUCAGGAGCUAUUCAAACAAUGGCUCCCCAAUGAUACACAUUUGAUUUAAUCUUUGAAAACAGAGGGGCAACCAGAUUCUGAAUCUGAAGAGGAGUUACAGUUAUCUAUUACAGCCCUCCAUAUACUUGCUUGAAAAAUAUAUGGCUGUGUGUGCAGGGCAGGGCUGCAUAACUGGAUGUUCAAGUUGAUGACCAUUCAUGCUCUGCAAGGGCAACUUGAAAGGAGGCAUUGAAGAGAACUGGCGGUCUCUCUGAUGGUAUUACAAAUAUCAAGGAUGACAUUUCCAUUAACAACGGUCCUAACACUUUCCCUGCAUUUUUAAGUACCUCCGACCACAGGAUGUCUUCUUGUCUGCUCCAAUAGUCCUGUAGUCACUGUCAAAAGCAAAUGUCCAAGCGGAGACAGGAUGGAAUCUGAUUUUCUAGAUUCCAAAUAGUGAUUAGAGAAAUGUCAUACUCAUUAGACUGGAAACUUUUUAUCUGCCUCAAAAUUAAUGUCUACAUAUAUAUUCUCCCUUGUCUCAGUUAAAUAGCUGAUUUCUAGGCACAUUAGUACUGAGUUGUUUUUGCUAGGAAUAGUAAUAAAAAUAAUUUAUAUUUGCAUAGAAUUUAUGCUUCUGAAAGCCACUUGGUCACUUUCUAUUUUGAUACUUACCAGGAAUCUGUGAAAUAGAGCAGGGACUACUACUUCUUAUUGUUUUACAGAAUGGGCCAUGGGAGGAAAGAGUGGUUAAGUGGAAGUUAGGAAUUUGCACUGAAUCUUCCAAUACUUAACAACUGUCUAGUUUUGAGAGCCAUGGGCCUCUGAGGUAGGCAAAAUUUGGGACAGAAGCUUAGGUAGGAAAAAAACAUAUGAAUUAUUAAAAACUCUCCUAUAUAUUCUGCUUAGAGUUAGCUAAGAACGUCACAGUUUGACGUCUAGGAUAUAUGACAAGGGAAACAUCGUAUGUUCGAUUCAAGAGGCUGAGCGAAUUAUUUUGAAACUUAAAACACACAUUUCAGCCCAAGCAUUGGAUAAUAAACCCCACCAGCUGCUAAAGGGAAGAA